GAGUAGGUUACUAAGAGCAUAUGGAGGAUGCCUUGGCAUAAAAGGGCGAUGAAGGACGUGGCGUGACUGCGAAAAGCGUCGGGGAGCUGUCUAGCGAGCUUUGAUCCGGCGAUGUCCGAAUGGGACAACCCAUGGCGAGUAAUGUCGUCAUAUUUUCUUCCGUAAGAGAAGAAAAAGCGAACCCGGGGAAGUAAAACAUUUCAGUACCCGGAGGAAAAGAAAAAAACGAUUCACUUUUUUAUUGGUGAGUCCGGAUAGUCGGGAACACCAAUAAAAUUGUGAUUCAUAUUCCCUUAGUAGCGGCGAGCGAAAAGGGAGGAGUCUAAACCGCAUGAAUUAAUUCUGCCGCAAGGUGGGAAAAAUUUAUGCGGGGUUGAAAGAAGUGAUCAUUUCCCCCUAUGGGGGAAGAGGAGUAUAUAAACUGAAAAAUUGGUUAGUUAAAUGGUUUUGGAAAAGCCAACCAAAGAGGGUAAUAGUCCCGUAAGCGAAAACCUUUUUCAUACUUCUUGAUUGUUCUCUUAAGUACCGCGGGGAAAGAUUGCCCCGUGGGAAGCCGGCCCGCCUACGGGCCAAGACUAAAUACCUUUUGUGACCGAUAGUGAACUAGUACCGUGAGGGAAAGGUGAAAAGCAGCCCGGUGAGGGCGGUGAAAUAGACCUGAAACCAUAUGCUUACAAAGAGCGGGAGCCCUGUGCUUCGCACAGAGAUAUCGAAAUUUUGAAAUAUCGAUAUUUCCGCGCGGAGCGCGGGUGACCGUGUGCCUAUUGAAGAAUGAGCCAACGACUUUAUGUGUUUUGCUUGUUUAAGCUCCGAUUGGAGAUUAAGCGAAGGGAAACCGAGUGUUAAAAGCGCGUUUUUCGGCGUAAGCCGAAAAGGCAGAACGCAUAAGACCCGAAGCCAGGUGAGCUUACCAUGGCCAGGUUGAACCCCGCAGAAAUGCGGGGGGAGGACCGCACCCACUAGCUGUGCAAUACUAGGGGAUGAGCUGUGGUAAGAAGUGAAAAGCUAAUCGAACCUGGGAAUAGCUGGUUCUCUCCGAAAUAGUUUUAGGACUAGCCCCGAAUGUUUCCUGUUGGAGGUAGAGCACUGGUUGGUUCUGAUUGGCGCAAGCCAGCUGAACCAGUCAAACUCCGAAUUCCAUUAAAUUAAGUUCGGGAGUCAGACUGUGGGGGCAAAGCUCCAUGGUCAAAAGAGCGAGAACUCGGACCAUUAUCUAAGGUCCCUAAAUUUUGGCUAAGUGUAGAAGGAAGUGAUGCGUCGAAGACAGAUAGGAGGUUGGCUUAGAGGUAGCCAUCCUUUAAAGAGUGUGUAACAACUCACUAUCAUAUCCCGAGAGUAAUCGAAGGAUUGACGCGUUGCACCAAAGAUGUAACGGGACUAAGCCAAAUACCGAAGAUAUGGAUUUUUCCCCCAUUGGGGGAAGAGUGGUAGGAGAGCGUUUUUAGCGCAGUGAAGGUUGACCCGCGAGGGCGAUUGGAGCGCUAAGAAGUGCAAAUGUUGGCAUGAGUAACCUGCAAGACCGGUGAAAAACCGGU
rnacentral:rRNA from 1 species